rnacentral:rRNA from 1 species
GAUGAACGCUGGCGACGUGCCUAAUACAUGCAAGUAGAACGUUGAAGCUUGGUGCUUGCACCGAGCGGAUGAGUUGCGAACGGGUGAGUAACGCGUAGGUAACCUGCCUCUUAGCGGGGGAUAACUAUUGGAAACGAUAGCUAAUACCGCAUAAAAGUCGAUAUCGCAUGAUAUUGAUUUGAAAGGUGCAAUUGCAUCACUAAGAGAUGGACCUGCGUUGUAUUAGCUAGUUGGUGAGGUAACGGCUCACCAAGGCGACGAUACAUAGCCGACCUGAGAGGGUGAUCGGCCACACUGGGACUGAGACACGGCCCAGACUCCUACGGGAGGCAGCAGUAGGGAAUCUUCGGCAAUGGGGGCAACCCUGACCGAGCAACGCCGCGUGAGUGAAGAAGGUUUUCGGAUCGUAAAGCUCUGUUGUAAGAGAAGAACGAGUGUGAGAGUGGAAAGUUCACACUGUGACGGUAACUUACCAGAAAGGGACGGCUAACUACGUG